AUUAGAGUUUGAUCCUGGCUCAGAAUAAACGCUGGCGGCGUGCCUAACACAUGCAAGUCGAGCGAGAACAGGAACUUCGGUUCCCUAGUACAGCGGCGCACGGGUGAGUAACACGUGGGUAAUCUGCCCCGGAGCGGGGAAUAACAUCGGGAAACCGGUGCUAAUACCGCAUACGAUCACAGGAGCUUCGGAAUCUGUGAUGAAAGGCUUCGGCCACUCUGGGAGGAGCCCGCGCCCGAUUAGCUAGUUGGUGAGGUAACUGCUCACCAAGGCAACGAUCGGUAGCCGGUCUGAGAGGACGGUCGGCCACACUGGAACUGAGACACGGUCCAGACUCCUACGGGAGGCAGCAGUGGGGAAUUUUUGACAAUGGGGGAAACCCUGAUCAAGCAACGCCGCGUGGAUGAUGAAGUACCUCGGUACGUAAAAUCCUUUCGACAGGGAAGAAGCCUUCGGGUUGACGGUACCUGUAGAAGAAGCCCCGGCUAACUCCGUGCCAGCAGCCGCGGUAAUACGGGGGGGGCAAGCGUUGUUCG
rnacentral:rRNA from 1 species